rnacentral:tRNA from 1 species
GGUCCUGUGGUGUAGUGGUUAUCACGUCUGCUUUACACGCAGAAGGCCGCCGGUUCGAUCCCGUCCAGGACCU